rnacentral:rRNA from 1 species
GACGUAGGAGGCGAGCGUUGUCCGGAAUCAUUGGGCGUAAAGCGCGCGUAGGCGGCCCGGUAAGUCCGCUGUAAAAGUCAAAGGCUCAACCUUUGAAUGUCAGUGGAUACUGCCGGGCUAGAGUCCGGAAGAGGCGAGUGGAACUCCUGGUGUAGCGGUGGAAUGCGCAGAUAUCAGGAAGAACACCGACGGCGAAGGCAGCUCGCUGGGACGGUACUGACGCUGAGGCGCGAAAGCGUGGGGAGCGAACAGG